rnacentral:rRNA from 1 species
GACGAACGCUGGCGGCGUGCUUAACACAUGCAAGUCGUACGGUAAGGCCCUUUCGGGGGUACCCGAGUGGCGCACGGGUGCGUAACACGUGAGUAACCUGCCCACAACUUUGGGAUAACGCUAGGAAACUGGUGCUAAUACUGGAUAUGUGCUCCUGCUGCAUGGUGGGGGUUGGAAAGCUCCGGCGGUUGUGGAUGGACUCGCGGCCUAUCAGCUUGUUGGUGGGGUAGUGGCCUACCAAGGCGGCGACGGGUAGCCGGCCUGAGAGGGUGACCGGCCACAUUGGGACUGAGAUAAGGCCCAGACUCCUACGGGAGGCAGCAGUGGGGAAUAUUGCACAAGGGGCGCAAGCCUGAUGCAGCAACGCCGCGUGCGGGAUGACGGCCUUCGGGUUGGAAACCGCGUUCAGCAGGGACGAAGCUUUUUGUGACGGUACCUGCAGAAGAAGCACCGGCUAACUACGUG